UACGUAGGGUGCGAGCGUUAAUCGGAAUACUGGGCGUAAGCGUGCGCAGGCGGUUAUGCAAGACAGAUGUGAAAUCCCCGGGCUCAACCUGGGAACUGCCAUUUGUGACUGCAUGGCUGGAGUGCGGCAGAGGGGGGAUGGAAUUCCGCGUGUAGCAGUGAAUGCGUAGAUAUGCGGAGGAACACCGAUGGCGAAGGCAAUCCCCUGGGCCUGCACUGACGCUCAU
rnacentral:rRNA from 1 species